GACGGAGGAUGCAAGCGUUAUCCGGAAUGAUUGGGCGUAAAGCGUCCGCAGGUGGCAGUUCAAGUCUGCUGUCAAAGACCGGGGCUUAACUUCGGAAAGGCAGUGGAAACUGAACAGCUAGAGGAUGGAAGAGGCUCGCGGAAUUCCCAGUGUAGAGGUGAAAUUCGUAGAUAUUCGGAGGAACACCAGUGGCGAAGGCGGCUCACUGGUCCAUUACUGACGCUGAGGUGCGAAAGCGUGGGGAGCAAACAGG
rnacentral:rRNA from 1 species